GCCUGUUGAAGAUUUUCUUUAGAUUACAUAGGUGUUGAAUAUAUUCGAUAUUCACUGUUUGUGAAUAAAGUCUAUUUACAAGAGUUCAUUUCAGGCAGGUUAAAGGUCAUCCAAUAGGUUUAAGGUCGACAAAUAUGCUAAGACCAUAAGACACAUUUAAGGUCAUACAAUAGGUUUAAGGUCAACAGAAAUGCUAAGGCAAUAAGAUAGGUUAAAGGUCUUUCAACAGGUUUUAAGGUCAACAGAAAUGCUAAGACAAUAAGAUAGGUUAAAGGUCUUUCAAUAGGUUUUAAGGUCAGCAGAUAUGCUAAGAAGAUUGAUAGGUUAAUUAAGGUCAACAGAAAUGCUAAGACAAUAAGAUAGGUUAAAGGUCUUUCAAUAGGUUUUAAGGUCAGCAGAUAUGCUAAGAAGAUUGAUAGGUUUAGGUUAAUUCAUCAGGUUUAUGGUUAUCAGAUGUGUGAAAAGUAAUUCAACAGGUUUUAUGUCAUUAGAAUUGUGUAAGGUCAUUAGAUAUGUGUAAGGUCAUUGGAAAUGUGUAAGGUCAUUAGAUAUCUGUAAGGUCAGUAGUCAAUUUAAGGUCAUUCAAUAGGUUUAAGGCUAUUUGACCAGUUCCACUUUUAUAAUUUGGAAUGGAAACUUUAUCUUAAUAUUUUUAUUCAAGGUAAGGUUUCUAGCUUUGAUCAUGUCAAAUCAGCAUAAUUAAUGAAUUAACAGUAUUUUUAAUAUUUUUU
rnacentral:lncRNA from 1 species